AUUGAACGCUGGCGGCAGGCCUAACACAUGCAAGUCGAGCGGAAACGAUCCUAGCUUGCUAGGAGGCGUCGAGCGGCGGACGGGUGAGUAAUGCAUAGGAAUCUGCCCGAUAGUGGGGGAUAACCUGGGGAAACUCAGGCUAAUACCGCAUACGUCCUACGGGAGAAAGCAGGGGAUCUUCGGACCUUGCGCUAUCGGAUGAGCCUAUGUCGGAUUAGCUUGUUGGUGAGGUAAUGGCUCACCAAGGCGACGAUCCGUAGCUGGUCUGAGAGGAUGAUCAGCCACAUCGGGACUGAGACACGGCCCGAACUCCUACGGGAGGCAGCAGUGGGGAAUAUUGGACAAUGGGCGAAAGCCUGAUCCAGCCAUGCCGCGUGUGUGAAGAAGGCUUUCGGGUUGUAAAGCACUUUCAGUGAGGAAGAAAGCCUUGGGGCUAAUACCCCCAAGGGACGACAUCACUCACAGAAGAAGCACCGGCUAACUCCGUGCCAGCAGCCGCGGUAAUACGGAGGGUGCGAGCGUUAAUCGGAAUUACUGGGCGUAAAGCGCGCGUAGGCGGCUUGAUAAGCCGGUUGUGAAAGCCCCGGGCUCAACCUGGGAACGGCAUCCGGAACUGUCAGGCUAGAGUGCAGGAGAGGAAGGUAGAAUUCCCGGUGUAGCGGUGAAAUGCGUAGAGAUCGGGAGGAAUACCAGUGGCGAAGGCGGCCUUCUGGACUGACACUGA
rnacentral:rRNA from 1 species